rnacentral:rRNA from 1 species
GAUGAACGCUAGCUACAGGCUUAACACAUGCAAGUCGAGGGGCAGCAUGGUCUUAGCUUGCUAAGGCCGAUGGCGACCGGCGCACGGGUGAGUAACACGUAUCCAACCUGCCGUCUACUCUUGGACAGCCUUCUGAAAGGAAGAUUAAUACAAGAUGGCAUCAUGAGUCCGCAUGUUCACAUGAUUAAAGGUAUUCCGGUAGACGAUGGGGAUGCGUUCCAUUAGAUAGUAGGCGGGGUAACGGCCCACCUAGUCUUCGAUGGAUAGGGGUUCUGAGAGGAAGGUCCCCCACAUGGGAACUGAGACACGGUCCAAACUCCUACGGGAGGCAGCAGUGAGGAAUAUUGGGCAAUGGGCGAGAGCCUGAACCAGCCAAGUAGCGUGAAGGAUGACUGCCCUAUGGGUUGUAAACUUCUUUUAUAAAGGAAUAAAGUCGGGUAGGGAUACCCGUUUGCAUGUACUUGAUGAAUAAGGAUCGGCUAACUCCGUG